UACGAAGGGGGCGAGCGUUGUUCGGAUUUACUGGGCGUAAAGGGCGCGUAGGCGGCGCCGCAAGUCGCGUGUGAAAGCCCCGGGCUCAACCUGGGAGGUGCGCGCGAGACUGUGGUGCUGGAGUUCGGGAGAGGGGCGUGGAAUUCCCAGUGUGAGAGGUGAAAUACGUUGAGAUAUGGGAAGAACACCGGGUGGCGAAGGCGGCGC
rnacentral:rRNA from 1 species